GCUGCCCGCUAACUGCGUCAUGCAGGUCGCACAGCUCAAGUACAAUAGCCACUCGAAGGAGUCCAGAUCGAUAACAUAAUUGACCAUAAUUUAUUAAUUAAGCUGUAAACUUACUACUUCAUAA